rnacentral:rRNA from 1 species
AGUGAACGCUGGCGGUAUGCCUAACACAUGCAAGUCGAACGGCAGCACAGUAAGAGCUUGCUCUUACGGGUGGCGAGUGGCGUACGGGUGAGGUAUACAUCGGAAUCUACUCUUUCGUGGGGGAUAACGUAGGGAAACUUACUCUAAUACCGCAUACGACCUACGUGUGAAAGCAGGGGAGCUUCUUACCUUGCGCGAUUGAAUGAGCCGAUUUCGGAUUAGCUAGGUGGCGGGGUAAAGGCCCACCAAGGCGACGAUCCGUAGAUGGUGUGAGUGGAUGGUAGGCGGCACUGGAGGUGAGACACGGACCAGACGCCUGAGAGAGGGAGCAGUCGGGAAUAUUAGGCAAUGGGGGGGAGCCUGAUACAGCCAUACCGCGUCGGUGAAGAAGGCCUUCGGGUUGUGAAGACCUUUUGUUGGGAGAGAAAAGCAGCAGGUUAAUACCAAGCUGUACUGACGGUACCCAAAGAAUAAGCACCGGCUAACUUCGUG